CCAGGCUUCCGAGAUAGUUGGGACUGGGUACUCUAUUGAGUAGUAGAUGAGACUAUGAAUUAGCUUUCCUGCCCUGACAGAGCAUAAAGACAAAACCCAGGGCCUAUACAGUUCAUUGCUUGUGGACCUAAAUCAGUCCAGAGUGUGCACUAAAUUCCCUGGUCACAUGAAGUUGCCAGUUUUGAUCUGCAGAUGAGGAAGCCAUGAGCUGUAGUCUCUGUUCAAAUGCCACCAUACGUAGGACUGUUGAAUGAUCUGUGAAGCUUUCUAUGUGCUCUGGUUAGGGUUCCUGCUUUGACAGGCUGAAGGCUGUAUUAGGCAGUGAGUAGGGCUAUGAAUUAGGCUUCCUUUCCAGGUGCAGUGGAAGAAGCAGAUCCAAAGCAGUUGUUCGUCUGAAGAGGUGGAGUGAAGUCAGGAACAACCUAUGCCAUUGUCUUGGUGACAUCACAAGAACUCACUUUCGGUGAAAGAUGACUGCACUGCAGGAUGCUACGUGCAACAGCUGAGCUACUAAUUGCAGCUGUCUGUCACUCUGGCUUGGAUGGAGAAGAAAGGCUAUCGUUUCAGUGAGUGAAUUUGAUGGGAUGCAAAGAGAUGCUGCAGUUGAACUCUGCCUCCAGCCAGUUUUUCCAGAGACCAAAUAUUAGACCUACCUGUUUAGCUAGAUGCCAGCCAACUUAGUAAGAGGAAGAUGCACAGAGCACAUACAUACAGACACUCAUUCUAGGUCUCUUCUUUUUUCUAGAUUUGUCUUUGUCUCUGGGCGUUCUCCGUUUCUCUUCAUUAUUUUCCACACUUUAAUUUUUUAUUUUGUUUAGCUUAUGUUUUGCCGAGAAGACAUAAAGCAUCUUUUAAGCAUCACAACUAUUGCAUAAACCAAGCUGCCUUGAAGCUAUUUUGUACAUAUGUUUUUCAUUUACUGAAGGCAGGGGGUGCUAUAUGCAAAGAAAUUAGCUUCAGUAACUAGGUAACAUUUCCAAAGAGACACCUGCAGACAUUUAUAGUGCCACAUUAUAGAAUUGCUUUAAAAUGUAUCAUUUCUCUCAGAUGCUGCCAAAUGUACUAUGAUGCAUGUCCUUACUGAGGUAUGCAGACAGCAAAUGUCAUACACAUAUUCUUCUCAUCGAAGAAGCAAUGUGUUGUAACUAAUAAUGAUUUCUCCAAAUCGCAGAUUAAUUGGUGUGCAAUUAAUUUGGCAUAUCCUAAAUGUAGCAGAGUAUCCUUCACCUGAGUACAUCUACAGCAAUAAAACAUUUUCACAGAUAAUAUUGCUGGAAUGCCCAAAUAACAUCCUUGUCAAUAAGAACUCCACAAUCUUCCACUGACCAGAUAAAUGAGAAGCCAGAGAAAAUAUGAACUAAACAUCUCAUUGUUUUUCCUUCCAAAUAACUUACAUAUUUUGACAUUUUUCCUCAAAUGGAGAAGAUUUUGAAAUAUCUCCCUAUAUAACUUGGAAAUGGAAAAAGGAAAAAUAAGGUGCAGUGAACAUGAUUCACAUGAAUUACAAGUACAAAAGUAAAAGGGAAAUAGAAAGAUAAAGAAGACACAUUCCAUAUCCUCAAGAGUGUUUAUCGUCUAAUGGAGGAAACCAGAAAUCAAUCAAAUAAUAGGAUUGCAGGACAGAGGAAGAGAAAAGACAACUGCUGGAUGUGAACUGAUUAGAACAAUUUCAAUCUGGUGGAAAAAAAAAAAAAAAACAGAGACAGAAAUAAGAAAUUUCUAGGUUCAGAAAUUGGUCCAGCUUCUCACUAGCUCU